UCAGUUCAUCCCACCUCCCUACACCCUCCUUCAUCCUUGAAACAGUCUGUACACGUUAAAACUUUUCAUGCAUCCCAGCACUCAGGAAACAGAGGCAGGCCAAUCUCUGUGAGUUUUCCUCCAGCUUGUUUCACAAAAUACAGCCUCUCACUGAACCUGGAGCUCACCAACUCAGCAAGAGUAGCUGACCAACGGACUCCAGAGUCUGUCUGUCUGCCCUCCUAGCACUAAGGUUAUAUGUGCAGCCACCACACCCAUUCUUACCACUGCUUCUGGGUAUUGACUGUCUGAGCUCAGAUCCUCGUACUGACACAGCAAUCUCCAGUCUACUUUCUCUGUGGAAGAGUUCUCUGUUGUGAGUUCCACUGGGUGAGACUUGGUGAUGCCCACCUGUAAUCUGAACACUGAGAAGGUUAAGCCAGUAUCAAAGAGGUGGGUUGAUCAGCUACCAGAUAACACAUUCCCCUCGCGCUCUCUGGCACCCGCCGUGGAAUAUAUUACUCUACUAGAGAAGCUGCUCUCCAUGUACUUGUUAGACCUCUUCUGAAAACUCUCAACAUUCCACAUUCCCAGGAAGGCUUUUCCUACAAAGGAUCUCCUCUGAAUCAAAAUGGCUGCAGUCCAAAGGUUAUGUCCAAAGAACAAUUCAGCUAGCUGCCAGGAAAGUCUCUGCUGUAUGACUGACCUUUCCUUCUCUGUGGUUUUUUUUUUUUUUUCUUUCUGAAUUGUCAUGUCUCUCCCAGUUAAGUGACAAACAUGACGUAGAAAUCGCUUUUAGCCUUGUGUUUUCAGUCUUUCGAUGACUCUAUUCAACAAAUUGGAAAUCAUUAUACACAAAUGCAUAUGCUAGUCGGUGACCUGGAAGCUCGCG